rnacentral:rRNA from 1 species
CCUACGGGUGGCAGCAGUGAGGAAUAUUGGUCAAUGGACGAGAGGCUGAACCAGCCAAGUAGCGUGAAGGAUGACUGCCCUAUGGGUUGUAAACUUCUUUUAUAUGGGAAUAAAAUGUUCCACGUGUGGGACUUUGUAUGUACCAGAUGAAUAAGGAUCGGCUAACUCCGUGCCAGCAGCCGCGGUAAUACGGAGGAUCCGAGCGUUAUCCGGAUUUAUUGGGUUUAAAGGGAGCGUAGGUGGAUUGUUCAGUCAGUUGUGAAAGUUUGCGGCUCAACCGUCAAAUUGCCGUUGAAACUGGCAGUCUUGAGUACAGUAGAGGUGGGCGGAAUUCGUGGUGUAGCGGUGAAAUGCUUAGAUAUCACGAAGAACUCCGAUUGCGAAGGCAGCUCACUGGCCUGCAACUGACACUGAUGCUCGAAAGUGUGGGUAUCAAACAGGAUUAGAUACCCUUGUAGUC